rnacentral:rRNA from 1 species
UACGUAGGGUGCAAGCGUUGUCCGGAAUUAUUGGGCGUAAAGAGCUCGUAGGCGGUCUGUCGCGUCGGAUGUGAAAAUCCAGGGCUCAACCCUGGACCUGCAUUCGAUACGGGCAGACUAGAGUUCGGCAGGGGAGACUGGAAUUCCUGGUGUAGCGGUGAAAUGCGCAGAUAUCAGGAGGAACACCGGUGGCGAAGGCGGGUCUCUGGGCCGAUACUGACGCUGAGAAGCGAAAGCAUGGGGAGCGAACAGG